rnacentral:lncRNA from 1 species
UUGUAGAUGUCAGCUCAUUACUUGUGACAGUGAGGGACUGGCUAGCUAAUCUCAACCUUGGUUCAACAGCAAAGUGAACUUUCUCACCAAGGAUGGCCAUUCUUGAAAAGACAUAUCUGGGUCAGUGAGUGCAGCUUCAGAAAAAGACCACUGAUCACCUGAUUUCCUGCAUCUUCCAGAUCAACAGCCUGAUUCAACUGGUCCUUCUUUGAACGACAUCUUUCUAUGUCUGCUCAUGUAGCCUGAUAAACUCCUUAAUGGACACUGAAUUAAACUCUGAAGUUGGACACUAGUCUAGCUAUAUGGUUGCAAGAGCAUGCCUUUAUUCUAAAGGAAGUGAAAAGUUAAAAAAUACAUUGAGGCCAAGUAUGGCAGCUCACAUCUGUAAUCCCAGCACUUUGGGAGGCAGACAGGUGAUUUGUUUGAGCUCAAGAGUUUGAGACCAGCUGGGCAACAUGGUGAAACCAUGCCUCUAAAAACAAUACAAAAAUUAGCUGAGCAUGGUAGUGCAUGCCUGUAGUCCCAGCUACUUGGGAGGCAGAGAUGGGAGGAUCAGUUGAGCCCUGGAGGCAGAGAUUGUAGUGAGCCAAGGUAGCACCACUGUACUCCAGCCUGGCCAUCAGAGUGAGACCCUGCCUCAAAAAACAAAAACAAAAAAUCCAACAACUAUGGAAAAGAAUCUUAGCCCAGUUAAGACACUAAUUAAUUUCCUAAUUUCUUUAAUCAUUUAGUGCAGCACUGUCCAAUGUAACUUUUUUCAAAGAUGGGGAUGCUCUAUUUCUGUACUGGCCAAUUCAAAAGCCACUAGUCACAUAUGGUUAUUGAGCACUUGAAAUGUAGCUAGUGUGGCUGAGGAGCUGAAUUUUUAACUUAAUUUAAUUUUAUUUCACAUACAUUCAAAUUUAAAUAGCAACAUGUGUCUGUGGCUACUGGUUCAGAAGCAUGGAUUUACUCUAUUCCUUUAUAUUCUGUGACAGAACAAUAACUAAUUUAUUAGAGGCAAAUAUCGAACUUAAUUCAUUUGUUAUGAUAAGAUCUUUGUAGAAUCUUAAGAAGAAAAGAAAAAAAAAGGCAAUGAACUUUGAAAUGGGGGUCUAACCAUACAGCUCCAGGGCAAUGAGUUAAGCUUACCAUCAUUUACGUGUCGUUGUAAAAUGACAUAUCUAUCUUUGUAGCUGCAAGCACACCUCAAGAACUAUGGGAACUCUGACAAAGGUGAGAAUGUUUGAAACAUAUUCAGUCACGUUUCCCAGAAGCUGGCUGAGAUCCUGGACAGGGUUGAGGACCUAGCCUUUUCUGAUGAAAACCUUGUCCCUUGAUAAAAUUGUUUGGCUCUCAUUUUAAACUAUUGCAGCAGUUAAGAGAUAAAGGAAUUAUCUUGGCAUUUUGAAAUUGUUUCUUUUAAUUUCUCGGAGUUCAAUUUAGUGUUUUCUUAAAAAAAAAAAGCUUCAUUAGCAUUCAUGUGCAAAAUGUUAUUCAAACUUUAAAAAUAGAAGAUGUUAAAGUUGAGGUAAUGUAUCUGAUUGGGAAAUUGAGGACUAAGCUCUGAUUUUUUAUCUUACCCAAAUUCCUACCUAAGGGGUCUAGGGAGUCAUGCCCUACAAACUAUAAAUUCUCAUCAGAUGGGUUUUAUUUCGCCCUGUAUAUUGUGGCUUACUUUUCAGUCUGACUCUGGCAUAACAUUAUGAGACAAGGAAAAAAAAAAUUUAACUCCAAAAUAUAUUUCCUUGCCAUACUUUAAAAUUGCCCUGCAACAUCUCUUAGAAAAAUCCACAUUCUAUAGAGAAUCCCCUUCCCCCUUUGUUCUCCUUCCUCCCUUCCCAGAUCCAGGAGAUAAUCAGCUAAAAGCCAGGCACCCUUUUAAGUCCGAUGAAAAACAAUUUACAACUUGCUCUCUCUAAAGCCUGUUACCUAAGAGCUUCCUCUGCACAAUAAAACUUGGUGUCCACAAGCCUUUAUCUUUAACCUGAAUAUUCCUUUCUAUAGAUCCCAGGUCUUCAGACAACCUCAACCAAUUGUCAACCACAAAAUGUUUAAAUUGACCAAUAGCCUGGAAGCCCCUGCUUUGAGUUGUCCUGCCUUUCUAAACCAAACUAAUGUAAUUCUUAAAUGUAUUUGACUGAUGUCUCAUGCCUUCCUAAAAUACAUAAAACCACGCUGUACCGCAACUACCGUGGGCACAUGUUCUCACGACCCCCUGAGGGCUGUGUCACUAGCCGUGAGCACUCAUAUUUUGUUCAGAAUAAAUCUCUUCAAAUGUUUUACAGAAUUUGACUCUUUGUCAACAGGUUAUUUUAUUCCUGAACUGGAAAUCCAAAGAAACAAAGAAAAAGGCCAGUUAAACAGAGAGACAUAUUACUGACUGCAGAGAGCACUUCCAUUGUAAGGCCUGAGAGAAAAUAUUUUAUUAUAGUACCAAGAUGAGAAACUUCAUACAGAAUCAGUUUGAUCAACUUUAAGAUAUAGCGCUCUGGGUUCCACAUGCUUCUGUGGCCAUUAAGAGGCCCUUUUGCAGAAAAGUUUUAAUUAAAGGUAGCUAAAUCUGGAAUUAGUGUCCUUUAUCUUCCUUUUUAAUGAGAUGACUCUAGAGAAGAUGUAGCUGUACAGAGAAGACAGGGGAAAGGAAAGAGGUGAGUUGAGAAAUAAUUAAAAACAUGAAAACUUCUAAUAUUCAAAUGUGAUUAAAAAUAAGGUGAUAUAGGCACCAAACCCCCAGUCUUCCUCCUUUCCAGAUUCUCCUUCAAGGGCCCCAAAAAUCUACAGCUUGUGUGGUUUUGAGUGUCCAUAGAAUGACUUUCCAGUUAUUCCCCAGUUUUUUCAGGAUAUCCUUGUAAUAUCCUCAUUUUUGUUAGACAGAAAUCAGCUCCACUGCAACAUGAAUUUUGGGCAACUUGCUUUGUUCAACAGAAUACUGAGUCUGUGUGUCUGUGCAGCAAAGGUGACAGGGUUCCUUCCUUCCUUCCUUCCUUCCUCCCUCCCUUCCUUCCUUCUUUCCUUCCCCCUCCCUCCCUUCUUUCCUUCCUUCCCUCCCUCCCUUCCUCCCUCCCUCUCUCCCUUUUUUGUUCCUUCCCUCCCUUCCUCCUUCCUUCCCUCCUUCCUUCCCUACCUCCCUCCUUCUUUUCUGUCAUAUUGCUUGCCUGAUGUGGGUGGGAAUUAUAAGAUUGACUCAGCAAAAAUAAUAUUUUAAUAAUUUGGCUUUCAAAAUAUUUGUGAAACCCACUGUCUCUAAGCCAGGCUUGAAUAGGAGCAUUGCUGGAUUUCCAUAGUAAGCUGGGAAUCACACAGUUAUGAAACCCUCCUCCUCUGUUACCCAUCCUCACCUGCAUCUCUAAGAGACAUAAAAGAAUAUUUGUCUUUUUAUUUUCAAUACUUCUUUUAUUUAUCUUAUUAAGUCUGUAUUUUUGCAUAGAAAUGAGGAGAUGUUUUACUGUUUAUAUCACUGUCACUUGUCAGGCAAUUGAUUUA